CAGCGCCACGAGUGGGAACUACAAUUAUUGGGCCUAAAGCGUCCGUAGCCGGUUUAGUAAAUUUCUUGUGAAAUUGUUGAGCUUAACUUAACAACGUGCAGGAAAGACUGCUAAACUUGGGACUGGGAGGAGUUAGAAGUAUUUUUGGGGUAGCGGUAAAAUGUUAUAAUCCCAAAGAGACUACCUAUGGCGAAAGCAUCUAACUAGAACAGGUCCGACGGUGAGGGACGAAAGCUAGGGGAGCAAAACGGAUUAGAUACCCGAGUAGUCC
rnacentral:rRNA from 1 species